UACGUAGGUGGCAAGCGUUGUUCGGAUUUACUGGGCGUAAAGGGCGCGUAGGCGGCCCUCCUUGUCGCGUGUGAAAGCCCCGGGCUCAACCUGGGAAUUGCGCGCGAAACGGGAGGGCUUGAGUUCGGGAGAGGAGCGUGGAAUUCCCAGUGUAGAGGUGAAAUUCGUAGAUAUUGGGAAGAACACCAGUGGCGAAGGCGGCUCACUGGCCCGGUACUGACGCUGAGGUGCGAAAGCGUGGGGAGCAAACAGG
rnacentral:rRNA from 1 species